CGUCGUAGCUUUCGAAUUGGGGGAGCUUGAAGUUUGGCGGGAUCGGUUCCUGCAUGAUCAUUUGAGAGAAAGGAGGGUCAGUACAGAUGUCCUCACCAUAAGCAGGGGGAGCGUGGCGGAGCUCUUCGAUCCACCGGUUCAUCUCUUGGAGCCUUCGACCCAGGAGGUCCUCUCGACUGCGAGUCUCGAGGGUCUUUUGGUAGAGUGGAGGUAGGGAUCCUCCGGGAGUGAAAUCAUGAUCAGACUAAGGGCUCUCCACCCUCGGAUUCCCCUUUUCGGAGAAGACAGGGUGACUGGCCCAAGUGGCCCAUCCUACUGUCGGAUCUUGGAACUCCGACGAUGCUCUUUCCAACUGCACUGACACCUGCGGCUGUUGCUGCUGCAUGGCCUGCACUGCUUCGGUGAGGCCUCUGACCUGUUGAACCAGCAGGUCGAAUUGCUCCGUACCGACCGUC
rnacentral:lncRNA from 1 species